UCAUAUUCAUUUUCAUGUUAUGUCAUUCUUAUUAUUGACACAAAUGGGAAUUUUCUGAUGGUCUUGUCCAUGGACAAAGUCUGAAAACUUUCUCCACGUGAUACGUUUCUCUGUGCACUGUACACGUAGCGCCACAGGGCAUGUAAGUUGCAUACAUACUGCACUGCAUUGUUUCGAUUCGCAUGACCCUUGCCCCAGCUUAUCACUGUGGCGCGCGUACAUACGAUUCUCACGUUACAUGUAUAUCUUAGGGGCUCACAAAACAAUAACAAUAAUCAUUUGGGUACUUUUUCAGAUGUAAUUUGUGGGUUAUUUAAUAUCAUAUCAUCCCCUUAUAUGUCAUUUAUAUUGUAUAAUUUUAACAUUGUAUUACAGAAGCUCUGUAGCCUCCCGCACCUGAGAUUUACAUUUGUAUAACUGCACAUAGACGAGGUGCUGGGUUUUUAAUUUGCUGGGAUUAAUUUGCUGGAACUAAUUCGCCAGGAUUAUCUUGCUGGGAUUAUUUACUGGAACUAGAAUAAAAGCUCAGUGAACAUCAA